AAAGGCUCUGGCGCUUUGAGAGGGACCUGCGGCCCAUCAGCUAGUUGGUAGGGUAACGGCCUACCAAGGCGAAGACGGGUAGGGGGCGUGAGAGCGUGACCCCCCACACUGGCACUGGGACACGGGCCAGACUCCUACGGGAGGCAGCAGUGAGGAAUAUUGCGCAAUGAGCGAAAGCUAGACGCAGCAACGCCGCGUGGGUGAUGAAGGCCUUCGGGUCGUAAAACCCUUUUCUGGGGGAAGAGUAAGGACGGUACCCCAGGAAUAAGCCUCGGCUAACUAUGUGCCAGCAGCCGCGGUAAUACAUAGGAGGCAAGCGUUAUCCGGAUUUACUGGGCGUAAAGAGCGUUGAGGCGGCUUCGUAAGUUGGACGUGAAAGCUCCCGGCUUAACUGGGAGGGGCCGUUCAAUACUGCGGGGCUUGAGGACAGCAGAGGGGGGUGGAAUUUCCGGUGUAGUGGUGAAAUGCGUAGAUAUCGGAAGGAACACCAGUGGCGAAGGCGGUCCCCUGGGCUGCUCCUGACGCUGAAGGCGAAAGCUAGGGUAGCGAACGGGAUUAGAAACCCCGGUAGUCCUAGCACGGUAAACCGAAUGGAAUAANCUUAAAGGGUUGUUAAGGAGGUUAAAAUUCCUUCCGUGCCGGAGCUAACGCGUUAAGUAUCCCGCCUGGGGAGUACGGUCGCAAGGCUAAAACUCAAAGGAAUUGACGGGGGCCCGCACAAGCAGCGGAGGCGUGUGGUUUAAUUCGAUGCAACGCGAAGAACCUUACCAGGGCUUGACAU
rnacentral:rRNA from 1 species